GCGUGAAUGAUGAAGGCCUUCGGGUUGUAAAAUUCUUUUCAUGGGGAUGAGGAAGGACAGUACUCAUGGAAUAAGUCUCGGCUAACUACGUGCCAGCAGCCGCGGUAACACGUAGGAGACAAGCGUUAUCCGGAUUUACUGGGUGUAAAGCGCGUGCAGGCGGUUUUGUAAGUUGGAUGUGAAAGCUCCUGGCUUAACUGGGAGAGGUCGUUCAAGACUGCAAGACUAGAGGAUGUCAGAGGGGAGUGGAAUUCCGAGUGUAGCGGUAAAAUGCAU
rnacentral:rRNA from 1 species